rnacentral:rRNA from 1 species
AGCGGCCGCGGUAAUUCCAGCUCCAAUAGCGUAUAUUAAAGUUGUUGCAGUUAAAAAGCUCGUAGUUGAAUUUCGGGGGUCAGUAGGUUGGUCAUGCCUUCGGUAUGUACUGGUCUCACUGAUUCCUCCCUCUUGAAGAACUGUAAUGUCAUUAAUUCGGUGUUGCGGGGAAACAGGACUGUUACUUUGAAAAAAUUAGAGUGUUUAAAGCAGGCUCACGCUUGAAUACAUUAGCAUGGAAUAAUGAAAUAGGACGUUCGAUCCUAUUUUGUUGGUUUCUAGGAUUGACGUAAUGAUUAAUAGGGAUAGGUUGGGGGCUAUUAGUAUUCAAUUGUCAGAGGUGAAAUUCUUGGUAUUUAUUGAAGACUAACUACUGCGUAAAGCAUUUGACCAAGGAUUGUUUUCAUUAAUCAAGAACGAAAGUUAGGGAUCGAAGACGAUCAAGNUACCGUCGUAGUCUUAACCAUAAACUAU